GGUUCCGUAGUACAACGGAUAGUAUGUGAGCCUCCGGAGCUCAAGAUACAGGUUCGAUUCCUGUCGGAACCA
rnacentral:tRNA from 1 species